rnacentral:rRNA from 1 species
CGUAGGCAGCGAGCGUUGUUCGGAGUUACUGGGCGUAAAGAGUGCGUAGGCGGUUUUCUAAGUUUGGUGUGAAAUCUCCCGGCUCAACGUGGGAGGGUUGCGCCGAAGACUGGAAGGCUUGAGUAUGGGAGAGGUUAAGCGGAAUUCCUGGUGUAGCGGUGAAAUGCGUAGAUAUCAGGAGGAACACCUGCGGUGUAGACGGCUUACUGGACCAUAACUGACGCUGAGGCACGAAAGCGUGGGUAGCAAACAGGAUUAGAUACCCUGGUAGUCCACGCCCUAAACGAUGCAUACUUGGUGUGGGUAGUUCAUUCUAUCCGUGCCGGAGCUAACGCGUUAAGUAUGCCGCCUGGGGAGUACGGUCGCAAGGCUG